rnacentral:rRNA from 1 species
GAUGAACGCUGGCGGCGUGCCUAAUACAUGCAAGUCGAGCGAACAGACGAGGAGCUUGCUUCUCUGAUGUUAGCGGCGGACGGGUGAGUAACACGUGGGUAACCUACCUAUAAGACUGGGAUAACUUCGGGAAACCGGAGCUAAUACCGGAUAAUAUUUUGAACCGCAUGGUUCGAUAGUGAAAGACGGCUUUGCUGUCACUUAUAGAUGGACCCGCGCUGCAUUAGCUAGUUGGUAAGGUAACGGCUUACCAAGGCAACGAUACGUAGCCGACCUGAGAGGGUGAUCGGCCACACUGGAACUGAGACACGGUCCAGACUCCUACGGGAGGCAGCAGUAGGGAAUCUUCCGCAAUGGGCGAAAGCCUGACGGAGCAACGCCGCGUGAGUGAUGAAGGUCUUCGGAUCGUAAAACUCUGUUAUUAGGGAAGAACAAAUGUGUAAGUAACUGUGCACAUCUUGACGGUACCUAAUCAGAAAGCCACGGCUAACUACGUG